AUGCCAGGAUCACAAGCCGACGAGAUUGACUGGGAGAAUUUAUCGAACAAGGAGCUUCAUGAUAAGUUUCAGCAAAUGAUGACUGAACAGGUGCAAGAUGUGCUGAACAAUUUUGAAGAGGCCAUGGAGAAGAUCACUGGCCUUGAGAAGACGUUCGAAACAAAGCUCGAUAACAAGUUUAAUGAAUUGCUCGCGCGUCUUCCACCACCACCACCCGCUGCACCUAACGCACCUCUCCAACAACAACAACAACGACUACCUCCACGUCGCGAAGCAGACCUCCGCCGAGCAAGCCGUGUUCCUCUUGCGUUUGGCCAAACUGUUGGUGCUGCUGUUGAUACUUCUGUGGCUCCUGCUGCUGAUGCGGAGGAGGAUGAUUAUGUGGGAGAUUAUGAGGAUGAGGUUGAUCAAAAUCAACACUACAUGCAGCCACCUGUACCACCACCAGCAGGUCGACCUCAGGUAUAUAUUCGUAAUGGUAGGCCUGCACCACCACCCCAGGUACGAGAUGAUGUCCAUAUUCCUAAACUGAAAUUGAAUAUUCCACCAUUUGAGGGUAGAUAUGUUCCUGAUAUAUAUCUUACUUGGGAGUUAGAAACUGAACAACGAUUUACAUGUUUACAAUAUCCUGAGGAGAGACGAGUUGCUGCUGCCGUUUGUGCUUUCACUAGUUUUGCAUGUGUAUGGUGGUCUGAACAUUGUAGAUUAUAUCCUAUUCCAACUACUUGGGCUGCUUUGAAAACUGCUAUGCGUACGCGUUGGGUUCCACCAUAUUAUCAACGUGAAUUGCUUCAAAAAUUGCAGCGUUUAAGACAAGGAAAAAAUUCUGUAGAAGAAUAUUAUCAGGAAUUACAAACUAGCAUGAUUAGAUGUGGUAUUGUUGAGGAGAAUGAAGCUAUGCUUGCACGUUUUCUGGGUGGAUUAAAUAGAGAGAUUCAGACCAUUCUAGACUAUAAGGAGUAUACUAAUAUCACUCGUUUAUUCCAUCUUGCUUGUAAAGCUGAACGUGAAGUGCAGGAUCGACAAGCAUUGGGGCGAACUAACUUUUCUGCAGGACGACCUUCAUCAUGGACACCACGUGCAUCUUCUACUUCAACUGCACCAGCACCUCCAUCCGGUGCCACCUCCAGCCGUGAUACAAGAAAACAGGCACAACCACCAUUAUCUGCCAAGAGCGCACCUGCGGGGCCUGCACAGCGUUCUUCUUCUUCCAUGGCAUCAACAGGGCACACAAGUGAUAUUAUUUGUCGUUGUUGUAAGGGAGGAGGUCAUUAUGCGAGGGAAUGCAAAUCUCCGCGUGUGAUGAUUGCUACCGCGGAUGGUGGAUAUGAGUCCGCUAGUGACUAUGAUGAGGAGACAUUGGCUCUUAUUACACGUGAAGAACAUGGUGGAGAUGAUUCUGAUCAUGAGACACAAUACAUGGCUCCUGAAGACGCUGACAGGUAUGAAUGUUUAGUUGCUCAACGUGUUUUGAGUGUGCAGGUCACACAAGCUGAGCAAAAUCAGAGGCACAAUUUGUUCCAUACCAAGGGAGUUGUGAAGGAACGUUCUGUGCGCGUCAUAAUAGACGGAGGGAGCUGCAACAACUUGGCUAGCAUGGAGAUGGUGGAGAAGCUUUAA
rnacentral:rRNA from 1 species